UAGGCGUAAAUGAUGCGAGUUAAGUGUGGGGGCAUCUACGAGAUGGCCCUGUGCUGUAGGGUAGCCGUUAAACUCGCUGCCUGGGGAGUACGGUCGCAAGGCUGAAACUUAAGGAAUUGGCGGGGGAGCACCACAACGGGUGGAGCCUGCGGUUUAAUCGGACUCAACGCCGGGAAUCUCACCGGAUAAGACAGCUGAAUGAUAGUCGGGAUGAAGACUCUACUUGACUAGCUGAGAGGUGGUGCAUGGCGUAGUCGUGU
rnacentral:rRNA from 1 species